CUUCUUUUUGAGUUUCUAUUUUCACAUAUCGUUUUCUCAGAUUUUGACCCUUUAAUUUGGCUUUGUUCUUCUUCCUCGUAUAGUAGAAGAACAUCACAAAAACUGGGUUUUUUUUCUUUCUUUCUGUAAAUUCUCAGAUUUUGACCCUUUAAUUUGGCUUUGUUCUUCUUCCUCGUAUAGUAGAAAAACAUCACAAAAACUGGGUUUUUUUUCUCUUUCUUUCUGUAAAUUCUGAAGAGAUCCUUCACGGAUUUGAUCUGUUUAAACUAUAUAAAGUCUUGAUUUUUAUAAAUCAGCUAAAAAAAGAAGUCGCGGUUUAGAGUUUAUGGUUUGACUAGGAAAAAACAAAUCAUACUGAAAUAGGUUGUGAGGUUUCCAAGUUAUAUGCAUUUUGUUGGGUAUUAGAACCUGAAGGAUCUAAUCAUGGAGUCACAGGGUUAGAUGAGGAUAGGAGAGGUGAAGGGAAUGAUUUGCCUCAGUUUCGUGAAUUCUCAAUUGAGACGUUAAGGAACGCUACAUCAGGAUUUGCUGCAGAGAAUAUAGUUUCAGAGCAUGGUGAAAAAGCUCCAAAUGUUGUGUAUAAAGGGAAAUUGGAAAAUCAAAGACGUAUUGCUGUUAAAAGGUUUAAUAGGAAAGCUUGGCCUGAUUCUUGUCAGUUUCUGGAGGAAGCUAGAGCUGUUGGUCAGUUAAGGAACUAUAGAAUGGCAAAUCUUCUUGGAUGUUGUUAUGAAGGAAAUGGGGAUUGAAGAUUUCUCGAAGCUACGUGGUGUACACAAGAUGCAUGUAUGUUUUAGAUAUCUUUAAGGAGUGUGUUGACAUUUAAUAGGACUAUGUUCCUUUAUCUAGUUUUACUUUGUAUGUUGUUUAGACAUCAAUGUUGUUUGGGAAACCUUUUAACAUUGUUUUGGUACUUUUAUAUUGUUUCUACAUCAUAACACUGUCA